CAAGAUGUACCUUUGUAUGUGUAUUAUAGGUCCCAAGAAUGAAUUCCAAAGCACCAGAAUGAGAAGAAAAAGAAAAAGAAAGAUUUAGAAGAAUUCUAUUGCAUCCAAAUGAUGGUAAUGAAGUCGAGACAAAGACACGUGAACAAUUGAAAUGAAUCCUACUGAAAAUAGAGCAUCGACUUAAUCACCAAUUCGUACUGUGAUCUCUGGGAAUGUCACUGAACUAGUCGGUGACAAUGAA
rnacentral:lncRNA from 1 species